AAAUGUUAAAAGUACUGCAAUCACUUUGCGUUUUGGAAAUGUUUUCGCAGAAAACACAACAUCCCUAACGUUUCGUCACCCAAACUGCUUCGUAUCUUGUUGGCAAGAUAACCGGCAGCAGAGAACGCUCGCUCUGCUUCUACGCUUGUAGGCACUAUUGACUUAAGAGCGUUGUGAGCUAACGUUAAAUAUUUACCCAUCGAGCCUCCUGAUUCAUAAAGAGUCAUCUCUUUCUUUAUGAUGUUUUCGAUUAGAGGUAUUUGAGCUGGCGAUGGACAAAAACUUGUCAUGGCAGAAUUUAAAGUCUGCUCUAGUUCCUCUUGAAUUGUCAGAGCUUGAGUAGCCGUGUUAUUUUGCGUGUUGGAUGCAUCAGCAGCUUGAUAUUGGACAUUUUUUUCAGACAAAACAGAAAGAGGCGCAUCAUCGUCAUCGUCUUCGACGAGAGAUAACGCAUUUAAUUUCAAAUUCUGGAUUAAGCCCUUUAUUUCCCUCCGAAUGACACUUUUUGCUGGCAAACCAAACGUUGCAUUGGCUUCCGAAGCAUGACAACGACGCGCCUGAAUCAAGUAGACAUGAACAUAAUUUCCCAUUUGUUAUCAAUUGCGCUGUUAUGGAACGACCACCGGAAAAUAUGUGAUGGUUAAUCACGAAAAAACUGAUUUUCGUUAUUAAAUUGAUGAUUAUUCAAAGUUUCCGCCUCUUGUCUUAUUAUGUUUAGACCUUUUCGGUUACAUUCUCCACGCGAAUGGUUGCCGUAACCAUUACGACCUGUACCUCUCCGUUGUUUGUAACCAGUGUUACCUCGCAAACCUCUGCUCGCACCUCGCUGAGGACGAUAUGCAUUAUGUGAUUGGUGACUGUAAUUACCGUACCUGCUAGUGUUGCCACGGUAGUUCUUGUUCGACCAUGUUCUUGGAUAAUUUCCCCUGUGACUUCUUCUUACUUGACUACCUCCUCUUGCAUGGUUGUAUGCAGUAUUGUAAUGUGACCUGUGA